rnacentral:rRNA from 1 species
CAAUAGCGUAUAUUUAAGUUGUUGCAGUUAAAAAGCUCGUAGUUGGAUUUCGGAUGGGACUUGCCGGUCCGUCGUUUCGAUGUGCACUGGCCAGUCCUAUCUUGUUGUCGGGGACUAGCUCCUGGGCUUCACUGUCCGGGACUAGGAGCUGACGAGGUUACUUUGAGUAAAUUAGAGUGUUCAAAGCAAGCCUACGCUCUGAAUACAUUAGCAUGGAAUAACACGAUAGGACUCUGGCUUAUCUUGUUGGUCUGUGAGACCAGAGUAAUGAUUAAGAGGGACAGUCGGGGGCAUUCGUAUUUCAUUGUCAGAGGUGAAAUUCUUGGAUUUAUGAAAGACGAACUUCUGCGGAAGCAUUUGUCAAGGAUGUUUUCAUUAA